rnacentral:RNase_P_RNA from 1 species
AAGGUACAACAGACAAUAGCUUGAAGUAAUUCAAGAGGAAAGUCCGGGCUGCAGUGAAGUAGGGUUCCAUCUAAAGGAUGGCUAGGGAAACCUAAGGGAUAGUGCAACAGAAAGUAAACCGCCAUUUAUGGUAAGGGUGAAACGGUAAGGUAAGAGCUUACCAGUGUUUUGAGUAAUCUUAACAGCUAUGUAAACCCAACCCGCAGCAAGAAGAGACGGUAUUUACUUCACAGUUUUUCUCUUCGCAGGAUUGUUUAAGUAAUUUAACAACUAGAUAAAUUAUUGUCAAAUACAAAACGCGGCUUAUAGUUGUGCCUUUAAG